AUGGACAACAGGUUGAUAUUCCUGUACUACCGAUAACCGUUUGAGAGAAGGGAUGACACAGUAGGAUAAGCUAAGCACACUGUUGGUUAUGUGUGCCCAAGCAUUGAGGCGGUCAAAGUAGGCAAAUCCGCUUUGAUAAUGCUGGGAUGUGAUGGGGAGCGAAAUUUAGUAGCGAAGUAGCUGAUUUCACACUGUCAAGAAAAGUCUCUA
rnacentral:rRNA from 1 species